rnacentral:rRNA from 1 species
GACAGAGGAUGCAAGCGUUAUCCGGAAUGAUUGGGCGUAAAGCGUCUGUAGGUGGCUUUUUAAGUCCGCCGUCAAAUCCCAGGGCUCAACCCUGGACAGGCGGUGGAAACUACCAAGCUGGAGUACGGUAGGGGCAGAGGGAAUUUCCGGUGGAGCGGUGAAAUGCGUAGAGAUCGGAAAGAACACCAACGGCGAAGGCAAUCCCCUGGGCCUGCACUGACGCUCAUGCACGAAAGCGUGGGGAGCAAACAGG